rnacentral:rRNA from 1 species
UACGGGGGGAGCAAGCGUUGUUCGGAUUUACUGGGCGUAAAGGGCGCGUAGGCGGUCAGCACAAGUCAGUUGUGAAAUCUCCGGGCUUAACUCGGAAAGGUCAACUGAUACUGUGCGACUAGAGUGCAGAAGGGGCAACUGGAAUUCUCGGUGUAGCGGUGAAAUGCGCAGAUAUCGGGAGGAACACCAAUGGCGAAGGCAGGCUCGCUGGGACGUUACUGACGCUGAGACGCGAAAGCGUGGGGAGCAAACAGG